rnacentral:rRNA from 1 species
CGAAUUAAAAAGAGCUAAAAUUAAAUUUAUCUUAUUGUAGCAUAAAUAUUUAAAAUUUAAUUUUUGAAGUGAAACGUUAUUCGAUUUUUAAUUUAUCUAAUUUUUUUAGAAAUAAAUUUAAUUUAUUUUUAUUUUUAAAUUAAUUUUUUUUUAUUAAUUUUAAAAUAAAUUUUAUAAUUUUAGGGAUAAGCUUAAAAUUAAAGUUUUAAAAUUUAAAUAUUAAUUUAUAAUUGGUAGGAUUAAAAAUUUUUUUCUUAAGUUUGUUAAAAUUUUUUAUAUUUUAUAUAUAAUUUAUAUUAAAUUUAAGUUUUUAUAAAAAUAUAAUUUUUUAUUUUAUAAAAUUAGUUAUGAUGAUUAAAUUAGUAUAUUAAAAUGUAAAAUUAAAAAUUACUUUGAAGUUAAGUAAAUUAAUUCGGCAAAUUGAUUUUCAACUGUUUAUUAAAAACAUUUCUUUUUGUUUUAAAUUUAAAGUAAUACCUGCCCACUGAGAAAUUGAAGGGCCGCAGUAAUUUGACUGUGCAAAGGUAGCAUAAUCAUUAGUUUUUUAAUUGAAAGCUGGAAUGAAGGGUUUCAUGAAAAAUCAACUGUCUCUACUUUACUAAUAGAAUUUUAUUUUUAAGUUAAAAAGCUUAAAUUUUUUUAAAAGACGAGAAGACCCUAUAGAGUUUAAUUUUAUGGUUUAUUUAAUUUUAUUGAAUUUUAUUUUUUAAAUAUUCUAUUAAAUUUGAUUGGGGUGAUUAAAAAAUUAAUUUAACUUUUUUUAUUUGUUUUCAAUAAUUAUUGUUUAUUUGAUCCAUAUAUUAUGAUUAAAAGAUUAAGUUACCUUAGGGAUAACAGCGUUAUUUUUUUAGAGAGUUCAAAUUGAAAAAAGAGAUUGCGACCUCGAUGUUGGAUUAAGAAAAAUUUUUGGUGGAGAAGCUAAAAUUUUUGGUCUGUUCGACCAUUAAAAUCUUACAUGAUCUGAGUUUAGACCGGUUUAAGCCAGGUUGGUUUCUAUCUUUAAUAUAUUAUGAUUAUUUAGUACGAAAGGAUCAAUAA